rnacentral:rRNA from 1 species
UACGGGGGGAGCAAGCGUUGUCCGGAAUUAUUGGGCGUAAAGAGCUCGUAGGCGGUGUGUCGCGUCGGCCGUGAAAACCUGCAGCUUAACUGUGGGCGUGCGGUCGAUACGGGCAUCACUGGAGUUCGGCAGGGGAGACUGGAAUUCCUGGUGUAGCGGUGAAAUGCGCAGAUAUCAGGAGGAACACCGGUGGCGAAGGCGGGUCUCUGGGCCGUAACUGACGCUGAGGAGCGAAAGCGUGGGGAGCGAACAGG